rnacentral:rRNA from 1 species
AGUGAACGCUGGCGGUAGGCCUAACACAUGCAAGUCGAGCGGCAGCACAGUAAGAGCUUGCUCUUACGGGUGGCGAGUGGCGGACGGGUGAGGAAUACAUCGGAAUCUACUUUUUCGUGGGGGAUAACGUAGGGAAACUUACGCUAAUACCGCAUACGACCUACGGGUGAAAGCAGGGGAUCUUCGGACCUUGCGCGAUUGAAUGAGCCGAUGUCGGAUUAGCUAGUUGGCGGGGUAAAGGUCCACCAAGGCGACGAUCCGUAGCUGGUCUGAGAGGAUGAUCAGCCACACUGGAACUGAGACACGGUCCAGACUCCUACGGGAGGCAGCAGUGGGGAAUAUUGGACAAUGGGCGCAAGCCUGAUCCAGCCAUACCGCGUGGGUGAAGAAGGCCUUCGGGUUGUAAAGCCCUUUUGUUGGGAAAGAAAAGCAGCAGGUUAAUACCCCGCUGUUCUGACGGUACCCAAAGAAUAAGCACCGGCUAACUUCGUG